CCAAUAGCGUAUAUUAAAGUUGUUGCAGUUAAAAAGCUCGUAGUUGAAUUUCGGGGUUCUACCGUUGGUCGGGCUUUGUCUGUACUGGCGUGUAGAAUUUCUACCUUCUGGAGAACCAUCAUGUUAUUAAUUUAACGUGGUGGGAAACCAGGACCUUUACCUUGAAAAAAUUAGAGUGUUCAAAGCAGGCUUAUGUCUGAAUUCAUUAGCAUGGAAUAAUAGAAUAGGACGGUGGUCCUGUUUUGUUGGUUUCUGAAUCACCGUAAUGAUUAAUAGGGAUAGUUGGGGGCAUUAGUAUUCAAUUGUCAGAGGUGAAAUUCUUGGAUUUAUUGAAGACUAACUUCUGCGAAAGCAUUUGCCAAGGAUGUUUUCAUUAAUCAAGAACGAAAGUUAGGGGAUCGAAGACGAUCAGAUACCGUCGUAGUCUUAACCAUAAACUAUGCCGACUAGGGAUCGGACGAUGUUAAUUUUUCUUGACUCGUUCGGCGCCUUACG
rnacentral:rRNA from 1 species